rnacentral:RNase_P_RNA from 1 species
UGCUCACCCCCGGGGAGGAAAGUCCGGACACCACAGGGCGGGAUACUUCCUAACGGGAAGCCGUGGAAACGCGGAGCCAGCUCCACAGAAACAAACCGCCGGACGUCCCUUUCAGCUAUAUAGUGCCCUUUUUCAGGAUACCGUUGUGAGACCGCGGUUUAGCAUAGCUGAGGACGCUCCGGUAAGGGUGAAAUGGUGGUGUAAGAGACCACCGGCGUCGCGGUGACGCGAACGGCCAGGAAAGCCUUAUCCGGUGCAAUGCCAAAUAGGGAAGCUUAGCGCGGCCCGCGCGAUCAUGCUUCCGGGUAGGCAGCUCGAGCCUGAGCGUGAGCCCAGGCCUAGAUGGAUGGACA